rnacentral:misc_RNA from 1 species
CGGGUCUUGUUUCUUAUUUCCAUUCUAUCAUCUGCCUGCCUUAAUUCUUUAAAUCACAGAUAAAAACAUGAUUGCGAAAGAAACUACAAAGUAUAAACACAGCUGAAUCAGGCUGACAUUUAUUUUGAUUUAGUGAAGGCAACAGCAUUUGUCAAUCAAACCCAUUUCAGGAAGAGAAAGUAAAUAAGAAACAAGACCCGUCUCAACUAAUAGUGGCCAUGUUGAAGUACUAAACCAGGCAAAACAUUACCAAUAAAGGUAUUAGCAAUCAAUAACCCAAUAGAUCACCAGCUAAAAUAUGGUUCAAGAGUCACGGGACUUCACAAUGAAGUUUUGGCGACUGAUUGGAUUCAUCACAACUGG